UUACCGUGACACCUGUUAUAACCUUUUUAUCUAUGGGAAACAACUGGCUAGAACUUCCUCCAUCCCCAUUCUUCCUUUUUCAGCAUCUAUUCCUUCUUCUCUGUUUAUCCUUUUCUGAUUUCUGUUAUUCCAUCCAAUAAAUCUCGAAUUCAUCAGUUUUUUUUUCAUGGUAUUUAUCUUUCAAAGUAUGAGUUCGCUAAUCUGCAAUGUUUCUUUGGUACUGCACCUUCUUCAGUUCUUUGUUGAUAAUCGGUAUAGGCCUCUUCAACUAGGAUGUUCUGCCCUAUCAUUUCUUCAAACCAGUUCAUGAGUCCUUCAAACCCUAAUAAUUUUUUAAAACGGAUAACAUGGUGAUCAUGGACGCACUGAAUUUCUGCCAAGAAAAGUUUAACAGGCAUCCUAUCUUGCAAUUUAUAUUGGUGAUGGAAUGACGAGGUAUACCUUAAGAACGGUGGGAAGAUGGUUUAGGGGCCGGGGGCGAGGACGAGGACGGUGCUAGGGCUGGGUAUGGGAGUGGUUCGAGGAUUACUUUAGAAAUCCUUUCUUUUAAACUUCAGUUUAUUUUUAUUUUUGACAACAGAUAUUUCAUGUUAUUUGGGGAUGAAAGCUGAUGUUUGUAAACUUUAUUUUAUAAAAAAAUUGAACUGUUCUUUUGAAUUGGACGGAUCAUUUGAUUGAUGCUGCUGUUGUGAAUGUAAUUUUUAUCAAAUAUUUGCUUGUGUGGUUGGGAUGUUGGUUUAAUAAUUUGACUUUUGGUUAGUAAUCUUACUGUGAGAGAAAUAGAGGCUAAUUAGCCUCUUUGAAGUUC